rnacentral:rRNA from 1 species
GACGAAGGGGGCUAGCGUUGUUCGGAAUUACUGGGCGUAAAGCGCGUGUAGGCGGUUGUUCAAGUCAGGUGUGAAAGCCUUGAGCUCAACUCAAGAAAUGCACUUGAUACUGGAUGACUAGAGGACCGGAGAGGAUAGUGGAAUUCCCAGUGUAGUGGUGAAAUACGUAGAUAUUCGCAAGAACACCAGUGGCGAAGGCGGCUC